CCUACGGGUGGCAGCAGUGGGGAAUAUUGGGCAAUGGGCGCAAGCCUGACCCAGCAACGCAGCGUGAAGGAAGAAGGCUUUCGGGUUGUAAACUUCUUUUCUCAGGGACGAAGAAAGUCACGGUACCUUAGGAAAAAGCAUCGGGUAACUCCGUGACAGCAGCCGCGGUAAUACGUAGGAUGAGAGCGUUAUCCGGAUUUAUUGGGUUUAUAGGAUGCGCAGGCGGAGGUGCAAGUCAGCGGUCAAAUUGCGGGACUCAACCCCGUACUGCCGUUGAAACUGCCUCCCUUGAGUGCGCGAGAAGUAUGCGGAAUGCGUGGUGUAGCGGUGAAAUGCAUAGAUAUCACGCAGAACUCCGAUUGCGAAGGCAGCAUACCGGCGCGCAACUGACGCUCAUGCACGAAAGCGUGGGUAUCGAACAGGAUUAGAUACCCCUGUAGUC
rnacentral:rRNA from 1 species